rnacentral:rRNA from 1 species
UACGUAGGUGGCUAGCGUUGUCCGGAUUUACUGGGCGUAAAGAGCGCGCAGGCGGUCGUUCAAGUCGAGUGUGAAAGCCCCCCGGCUCAACUGGGGAGGGUCACUCGAUACUGAUCGACUCGAAGGCAGGAGAGGGAAGCGGAAUUCCCGGUGUAGUGGUGAAAUGCGUAGAUAUCGGGAGGAACACCAGUGGCGAAGGCGGCUUUCU